GCCAGCGUGGUGUAAUGGUUUGAGUGUUGGACUACGACUCUGGAGACCAGGGUUUGAUUCCCAGCUCUGCCA
rnacentral:tRNA from 1 species